UCCUGGGAAAUGUGGGGCAUCUGGACAU
rnacentral:piRNA from 1 species